CAGAAUUCAUUGUCUCUCAGUUAUGAAAGCUAGAAAUCCAAGAUCCAGGUGUUGGCAGGUCCUGAUUUCAAUUCCUAUGGAUGUAUGCUCUGGUGAGGAAUUGCUGGAUUUGAAUUCUGUUAUUGGACCAAAGUGGUGGAGACAAGCUGCAUCAGCAACAGAUAACACUUUGUCAAAAAGGAAAUUGGAAUGGAUUAGAAUCCAGUCAUCAGCACAGUACCAGUCUCCCCCUUAUCAGUGAGCUGCAGAUGUUCAUGUCACCUAAGCAAGCUAGCUGCAUACCUCACUACAGCUUCUUGUGGUACACAGCAUAUAGAAAAAUAGUCACUGGCUCGGGUUAGCCCACAGGAUGGGUUAAGACGACCAUCAGAUCUUAUUUUAUCCAAGUCCAGUUCACCUAUCCUCAGGACCUGCAGAUGACUUCGCCUGGCUCUUUUUCAUCAAAUACAACUCAUCCUACUAUAUUGGAUCACCUUGCUGUUAGCCUGGCACUGUCCCUCCCCAUUUCAAUUUGACCAAAUUGAAACAGAUGCCCAGAGGCCGUGGAGAUCAAGACUGGUAUAACAAAAUUUGGAGCCAGUUUCCCGGCUUAAAUCAAUAUUUAACGCUUGCCCGUCUCUCCCAUGUCUGCCACCCGCAGCAGGAGAUUAAAAGAACAGAGGAGGUAGGAGCUCUUGUGAGAACCACGGGGAUUUUGGCAGAACCUUUAUGGGAACCAUAUGGCAGCAACUUUGCAGUACAUGAAACGUUUCUAAGGGGGAAGACACUAUUAUUCCCAAAGAAUGUUUCUCAUCCAUCUCAAGUGGAGUGAGCCCCACUGCCAAAAAAUGGGAAUGACAUUUUCUGGAAGCAUACAAAUUGUAGGUUAUAUCUGACCACAAUGUAUCUAACAGUAGCAGGUUGGCAUUGUACCCCACCAUAUAUUUCAGUGAUUCACAAAAGGGAACAGACAACAUUGGUAUUUGGGAUAUUUCCUUAGCUGUUAACAACCUCCCUCUAAUACAUUUUACCCAUGUUUGCAAUAAAGG